rnacentral:rRNA from 1 species
AUUGAACGCUGGCGGCAUGCCUUACACAUGCAAGUCGAACGGCAGCACGGGUGCUUGCACCUGGUGGCGAGUGGCGAACGGGUGAGUAAUACAUCGGAACGUACCUUAUCGUGGGGGAUAACGCAGCGAAAGUUACGCUAAUACCGCAUACGAUCUAAGGAUGAAAGCGGGGGACCGUAAGGACUCGCGCGAUUGGAGCGGCCGAUGUCAGAUUAGGUAGUUGGUGAGGUAAAGGCUCACCAAGCCGACGAUCUGUAGCUGGUCUGAGAGGACGACCAGCCACACUGGGACUGAGACACGGCCCAGACUCCUACGGGAGGCAGCAGUGGGGAAUUUUGGACAAUGGACGCAAGUCUGAUCCAGCCAUUCCGCGUGCGGGACGAAGGCCUUCGGGUUGUAAACUGCUUUUGUACGGAACGAAAAAGCUCUUACUAAUACUAGGAGUCCAUGACGGUACCGUAAGAAUAAGCACCGGCUAACUACGUGCCAGCCGCCGCGGUAA